GAUGAACGCUGGCGGCGUGCCUAAUACAUGCAAGUCGAGCGAACAGACGAGGAGCUUGCUCCUCUGACGUUAGCGGCGGACGGGUGAGUAACACGUGGAUAACCUACCUAUAAGACUGGGAUAACUUCGGGAAACCGGAGCUAAUACCGGAUAAUAUAUUGAACCGCAUGGUUCAAUAGUGAAAGACGGUUUUGCUGUCACUUAUAGAUGGAUCCGCGCCGCAUUAGCUAGUUGGUAAGGUAACGGCUUACCAAGGCAGCGAUGCGUAGCCGACCUGAGAGGGUGAUCGGCCACACUGGAACUGAGACACGGUCCAGACUCCUACGGGAGGCAGCAGUAGGGAAUCUUCCGCAAUGGGCGAAAGCCUGACGGAGCAACGCCGCGUGAGUGAUGAAGGUCUUCGGAUCGUAAAACUCUGUAUUAGGGAAGAACAAAUGUGUAAGUAACUAUGCACGUCUUGACGGUACCUAAUCAGAAAGCCACGGCUAACUACGUG
rnacentral:rRNA from 1 species